GAUGAAGAACGUAGCGAAAUGCGAUAAGUAAUGUGAAUUGCAGAAUCCAGUGAAUCAUCGAAUCUUUGAACGCACAUUGCGCCCGCCAGCAUUCUGGCGGGCAUGCCUGUUCGAGCGUCAUUUCAACCCUCGACCUCCCCUUGGGGAGGUCGGCGUUGGGGACCGGCAGCACACCGCCGGCCCUGAAAUGGAGUGGCGGCCCGUCUGCGGCGACCUCUGCGUAGUAAUACAGCUCGCACCGGAACCCCGACGCGGCCACGCCGUAAAACACCCAACUUCUGAACGUUGACCUCGAAUCAGGUAGGACUACCCGCUGAACUUAAGCAUAUCAAUAGGCGGAGGA
rnacentral:misc_RNA from 1 species